AUGUGUGUUGCUGUUGACAAAGCAUUUUCGAAACUGAUUUUGCCCCGACAUGAUGCACUGCCGCAUUUGUCGCAGCCCAAGCAACAAAACUGCAGCCAGAAAAAACUCAUUAUGAGAGUCGUCGACACACUAGGCGCCAAGCCACAAUAGGGCUGGAAUGGUGAAUGUGGUGGCUUGGAAGCUUGGCGUUUGGGGAACGGAAAUCCAGAAACCGGGCUUGGGCAGCAAACGUUAAUAAUUAGCAACCCUAUUAAUGCGAAUCGCGAGCACCACCCCCAGCUUAUUUGUCACCGCCCAGUGGGUGUCGAUUGAGUUUUGUGUGCUUCUCUCUUCGGGCGUUUUAAUUUAUUCGAUUAUUUUGAUGUUUGCGCAUCGUUAUCAACAUAAUCAGCGACUACAGCCUACGUGGACUGCAGCUGCAGCAGCAGCAGCAGUGCAUUAAUGCAUUCCAUCCCCAAUCCCCUUUUUUGCCCGCACCCUGUCCCCAGCCCCAGUGGGCCGGACAAUUGUCCGGUGGAUUUCGGGAUGCCGAUCUCAUACCACGUCUUCGUCUGCCAUUUCAUUCGCUGCUCUGUUUUUUAUUUAUUUUUAGGUGCGUUUGCACACAAAAAGUGGAUUCUUUUUCACUCGGCGCCAAUCAUUCACAGUUUGAACUGGAUCUGAACUUAGCUCAUCGCUGGAGAUCAUUUUUUCCACUGGCUAAACCGAGCCAUACUGAUCAUUGAUCUCCGAUGGACAUGUUCUAGUUAUCAUUCUACUCAUAGGGUUGUAAGAUUUAUCCAUACACAGAUUAAUCUAGCGAAGUUUUUUCACAAAGUACUAUUUUGGAGCUGCUGUAAUAUAUAAUUGUAUAAGAAAAGUCAAGAACAGUUAAAACUUAAUUUUAGCGUGGCUGUAUUUUGCCAAUAAAUGGCAUAUUUUUAAGGGACUUAUCCCUGCAACCCGACCAAUCUUCCAUAAAAAAGAUAUUAUAAUAAAAUUUUAUAUUUUUAUAUAAUUUUUUUUAUAUUUUUUCAGCUGCAGUCACGCAGCCCCGCCUACCAACCAAAAUGGAACCACAAGAGGGCGGGACAUCUGCAGCCGCCCAUCAGCAGCAACGCAUUAUAUUCGCGCUCGUUGUUUUCUGCCGUAUACAGCACUUUUAUUUCGAAUUUUUUCCAUUUUAUGCUAUUUUAUUGUCAUGCUGCGUAGCCCAAACCAGUACGGCCCACUCCACAGACUCCCGUGAGUACGACUCCCAUAUAUGGCUUGUAAAUGAGCUGCGUCUGUGUAAGUGCGUGUGCUAUGUACUCGGUUAAAAAUUGGAUAUUAGUAAAAAGCUCAUCGGAGGACUUUAGCCCUCGGUCUACCCGAAAUCUAGUAGUACAUAAAUCGGGAGUACUUAUGUAUGUAUUGCGAUGCAUGCCUACACAAUUGAAUGUGGCCGGGCUGAUUGAUCGGUGAUGGGGAAAAUUAUAAUUAGUUUUUGCUGUUUUGCCAUUCCCAGUCACUUUGUUUUGCAAUAUAUGAUUAACGAGUUAUCCAAUCAUUGCAGCUAAAAUAAUCCACAAUUGUAUUUGCAGUGUAGAGUCCUCGGGGUCCCGCAUUAAGGACUAACAAAUUCCGCUUAUUGACUAAUUGCAAAUACGAAACUGGCUGAUUGGCUGCAUUUGAGCAUCGGUUGGUUAGCGGUUCUGAAUGGAAUCCAUUCCGUAUUUAAUAGCAUAAAGCAAAGAAUGCAGAGCCAUAAGUUGGGGCCUGCUUGGUACUGAGAGUACAGUAGUACAGCGCUGACAACCAUGUUGUUAGUGAUUUAUUUUGACUAUUUUUCUGUACAUUUUCUAUUUUUCAAACAAGCGGUUCUCGAAAGCGAACUCUAAGGCAAGUAUUUUUGAAAGUUAUAUCUAUAAACAUAUAAGGGAAUAAAUUUGUGUUCCUCUGAAGAUCACCUUCCAUAGCUCCUUAAAAAGGGAGCGUUCGAGCUAUGCAUAAUAGUCACUGGGAUCUCCACACACAAGUGUCAGGAUGGCCGAGUGGUCUAAGGCGCUGCGUUCAGGUCGCAGUCUACUCUGUAGGCGUGGGUUCGAAUCCCACUUCUGACAAGAACUUUUUGGCAUUGCGUGUUUUUAUUUUUUCAUGGUUAAUGUAUUUUCAACGAAAUAAUGCAAUAAAAAUACAUUUUACGCCGUUAUAUGCUGCCCUUUAUAUACACGCAUUUUGCCAGCACAGCAAAAAAGAGCCCACAGACCGAAUUGAUUUUCCAAAUGUUUUUAUUAAACAAACCAAUUUCAUCCCUUACAAAAACCCGGCAAGCUUCACAUAUGUGUUUUUCGAGCCUUCGUUUUUUAAUGAUGCGAAUUCGAUGUACGAAAUUUUCAUUAAUACUCCGUCCGAGCACCUUCGCUGGACGGCAUGGAGAAGUGGCUGGGCGAGUGCGACAGCGAUAGCGAAAGCUGUAGGCUUAAAUGCGUCAUGUACAGGUCAGGCAGCGCCCGAGUGAAAGGGAUGGCCGAGGACAUGGUGGAGCAUAUGCAAGGACUUGUACAUAGAACGGUUCGUGCACCCAGCUAUAUCGUAUAUAGACUCCAGUGUUUAUUCAAUGCUGUUUACGGCCACCGACGGACCCACACCCACAUCCACAUCCACACCCGCAUCCUCAGCAGAACCUGACCGACCUUUUCGCCAGCACCUAUUGCCACUCCCAGCACUGCAGCUGCAGCCUGGCAGCGAAACCAAUUGGCUGCAAUCGCACUGCACCUCGAUGAGCAGUGCCUGAUAGCUAAUGGAUAAUAUGACCCCGUAAUUGGAUUAUCGUUGAGCCGUACGUCUUCUCGUGUAAACGUCGAGAUCUCCGUAAGUAAUAAAUCUAGGAGCUUGAGAGUUAACUAGUAGACUUAAAAUAAAAUAAAAAUGUACUAUGUGUGCUUGUUCAAAAGGUAUUCGCAUUGAAUAUUUUUAUGUCGGGUAUAAAUAAAUUUGUUUCCGACCAUAUAGUACA